ACCUGGCUGUCUCAGUGGGUAGAGUAUGUGACUCUUGAUAGCAGGGCCAUGAGUUCAAGCCCCAUGUUGGGUG
rnacentral:tRNA from 1 species